rnacentral:lncRNA from 1 species
UCAGAGACUGCGUGGCUUUGACACAGGCAUCAGGCGUGUGCAGCUCCCCCGCAGUUUCCCACAGCUUCACCGUCAUCCACUCUCAUGUCCCUUCAGAGUGCUGCCCACUUCCCGCCCAGCAAAGGACUGCAUUACUCAGCACACAGCGACCCCUGACUCAGUCGAUGUGGGAGGAGAUCGUCAUCAAGGCUGAUUCAUUUCUGUGUUGGCCAAUCAAGGUCUUCCCAGGACUUCAUCAGCCUGAGACCAGCUCCACCUCCACACCUAACACAGCAGCUCUCCUCCAAUUUCCCAAGAAUCCUCUCUGAAGUCUGGCAGACCUUGUAUUCAGCUGUAUAAAUGCUGCCUUCAUCAGCAACCAAGACUUCAUCUUCCCAGGCCCUCUUUGAGCCAGCCCCACCUACACCCAAUCCUGG